rnacentral:rRNA from 1 species
CUACGGGUCGCUCCAGUGGGGAAUUUUGGACAAUGGGCGCAAGCCUGAUCCAGCAAUGCCGCGUGCAGGAUGAAGGCCUUCGGGUUGUAAACUGCUUUUGUACGGAGCGAAAAGGCUUCUUCUAAUACAGGAGGCUCAUGACGGUACCGUAAGAAUAAGCACCGGCUAACUACGUGCCAGCAGCCGCGGUAAUACGUAGGGUGCAAGCGUUAAUCGGAAUUACUGGGCGUAAAGCGUGCGCAGGCGGUAAUGUAAGACAGAGGUGAAAUCCCCGGGCUCAACCUGGGAACUGCCUUUGUGACUGCAUUGCUAGAGUACGGUAGAGGGGGGUGGAAUUCCGCGUGUAGCAGUGAAAUGCGUAGAUAUGCGGAGGAACACCGAUGGCGAAGGCAGCCCCCUGGACCUGUACUGACGCUCAUGCACGAAAGCAUGGGGAGCAAACAGGAUUAGAUACCCCCGUAGUC